rfam:Felis catus isolate Cinnamon breed Abyssinian chromosome D3, whole genome shotgun sequence.
UAGGGGAGUCGGGGUUUGGACCCUCUCCCUGAACCCAGGGUAACUCUUAAAGUGGAGGGGAC